UGAGGUGUAAGUCAUUGUAUUGGAGCCCUCUUUAAUGGGGUUCUGACUUUGUCUGUCAGAGUUAAUAACACUGAGUGUUAGAUCAGGUUAAAGAUCAUGAUAAAAGGGGGGAUUGAAUAAGAUGUUAUUAACCAGUAGACAUGUACCUUAGUUUAAUUUCUUAUUUUCCUACUACAGUUGAAACCCCCCACCAACCCCAACACACAACCUUGUUAUCAUUUGUGCCAUUGAAGCAACUAGUUUUGAUCAUUGUUGAAGGCCGUACGGUGACCUAUAGUUUUUAAUGUCUGUGUCAUUUUGGUCUUUUGUUGAUAGUUGUCUCAUUGGCAAUCAUACCACAUCUUCUUUUUUAUAUAUUGUGGUUGUGUAAUUAGACAAUGAAUUCUGGGC
rnacentral:lncRNA from 1 species